rnacentral:ncRNA from 1 species
AAGGGAAGCGCGGUGAAAGACCGCCACUGGUCCGCAACUGUGAUCGGGGACGAAAUCUGCAAUUAGCCACUGUCCGCUGGAUGGGAAGGCGCAGAGAGUAGGACGAACCGAGAGUCAGGAGACCU